rnacentral:rRNA from 1 species
GAUGAACGCUGGCGGCGUGCCUAAUACAUGCAAGUCGAGCGAACAGACGAGGAGCUUGCUCCUCUGACGUUAGCGGCGGACGGGUGAGUAACACGUGGAUAACCUACCUAUAAGACUGGGAUAACUUCGGGAAACCGGAGCUAAUACCGGAUAAUAUAUUGAACCGCAUGGUUCAAUAGUGAAAGACGGUUUUGCUGUCACUUAUAGAUGGAUCCGCGCCGCAUUAGCUAGUUGGUAAGGUAACGGCUUACCAAGGCAACGAUGCGUAGCCGACCUGAGAGGGUGAUCGGCCACACUGGAACUGAGACACGGUCCAGACCCCUACGGGAGGCAGCAGUAGGGAAUCUUCCGCAAUGGGCGAAAGCCUGACGGGGCAACGCCGCGUGAGUGAUGAAGGUCUUCGGAUCGUAAAACUCUGUUAUUAGGGAAGAACAAAUGUGUAAGUAACUAUGCACGUCUUGACGGUACCUAAUCAGAAAGCCACGGCUAACUACGUG